UACGAAGGGGGCGAGCGUUGUUCGGAAUUACUGGGCGUAAAGGGCGCGCAGGCGGCGAGACAAGUCAGGCGUGAAAGCCCCGGGCUUAACCUGGGAAUUGCGCUUGGGACUGUCUGGCUUGAGUUCGGGAGAGGAGAGUGGAAUUCCCAGUGUAGAGGUGAAAUUCGUAGAUAUUGGGAAGAACACCGGUGGCGAAGGCGGCUCUCUGGACCGAUACUGACGCUGAGGCGCGAAAGCGUGGGGAGCAAACAGG
rnacentral:rRNA from 1 species